GCAUGCAUGCAGAGUGAAACGUUGAAGGAUCAUUGGUGAUAUCUCGUAGGGUUGGUAUAAGCUUGGUGUCAACCGAUAUCGAACCAGUACUGGUAUCGAAAAUACCGGUACGGUCCUGUUCGGUAUCAGUCCAUGAAGGUAAAAAUCGACACUAAUACAGAAAACGCCAAAAGUUGGUGCCAAAUUGAUAUUGGAAAUCUUUUGUUUCGAGAAAUUCAGUGCUGCUACCUGGUACCAUUUGCUCAUCCCUGAUCAUGGUUGUCGUACGAAAAACGGGGUAGGCAUGAGCUCGGUGCCAACCGAUACAGAAUCGGUACUGAUACCGAAAAUACCGGUUACGGUACUGGUAUAUGAAGGUAAAAAACGGUAGUGAACCGGUACCAGGAAUGCCAAAAGUCGGUACCGAAUUGGUACUUAAGAUCUUUCGGUUCGGCAAAUUUGGUAACCCAGAACAAUUUGCUCAUCCCUGAUCACGGGUUUCAUACGAAUAACAUCGUUACCAUACAACUUUUUUGGUUGAUUUUCUUUCGGUUAUCUUUUAGUGUUUUUUUCUACAUUUUCUUUUUAUUUUUGUCAACAGUUCCGUUCGCAACACACUUGUAGUGAUUUCAAAACAUAUAUAAACACAGACUAAAUAAUAAAAGAAAUUC
rnacentral:lncRNA from 1 species